GACGAACGCUGGCGGCGUGCCUAAUACAUGCAAGUCGAGCGAAUCUUUAGGAGCUUGCUCCUGAAGAUUAGCGGCGGACGGGUGAGUAACACGUGGGCAACCUGCCUGUAAGACUGGGAUAACACCGGGAAACCGGUGCUAAUACCGGAUAAUCCUUUUCCUCUCAUGAGGAAAAGCUGAAAGUCGGUUUCGGCUGACACUUACAGAUGGGCCCGCGGCGCAUUAGCUAGUUGGUGAGGUAACGGCUCACCAAGGCGACGAUGCGUAGCCGACCUGAGAGGGUGAUCGGCCACACUGGAACUGAGACACGGCCCAGACUCCUACGGGAGGCAGCAGUAGGGAAUCUUCCACAAUGGACGAAAGUCUGAUGGAGCAACGCCGCGUGAGUGAUGAAGGCCUUCGGUCGUAAAGCUCUGUUGUUAGGGAAGAACAAGUAU
rnacentral:rRNA from 1 species